rnacentral:rRNA from 1 species
AUUGAACGCUGGCGGCAUGCUUUACACAUGCAAGUCGAACGGCAGCACGGACUUCGGUCUGGUGGCGAGUGGCGAACGGGUGAGUAAUACAUCGGAACGUACCCAGUAAUGGGGGAUAACUAUCCGAAAGGAUAGCUAAUACCGCAUACGCCCUACGGGGGAAAGAGGGGGAUCGCAAGACCUCUUGUUAUUGGAGCGGCCGAUGGCUGAUUAGCUAGUUGGUAGGGUAAAGGCCUACCAAGGCAACGAUCAGUAGCGGGUCUUAGAGGACGAGACGCCACACUGGAACUGAGACACGGUCCAGACUCCUACGGGAGGCAGCAGUGGGGAAUCUUGGACAAUGGGCGCAAGCCUGAUCCAGCAAUGCCGCGUGCGUGAAGAAGGCCUUCGGGUUGUAAAGCGCUUUUGUCAGGGAGCAAAUCCUUGUGGCUAAUACCCACCGGGGAUGAGAGUACCUGAAGAAUAAGGACCGGCUAACUACGUGCCAGCCGCCGCGGUAACAC